CCCCAGGCACCCAUGCAAGGAAAGUCACUUGAUUAUGAAAGUGUUUCAGAAGAAAAGCAGACGCCGGUGGAGAGAGAGGCAGUGUCUCGAAGGAGGGAACAAGCCUCUCUUAAGACAUGUUUUGCAGCUCCAUGAAACUGAAAUCUGGUUGAACAGUAUUUAGACUUCUUUUAACCAUCUCCUAUCACAGCCCACCUUCAAGAAUCUCAAAGCUUGCUUUUUAUCUGAACUGCUUUCACAAACAUCCACAAGUCAAGAUCAGUUUUACUUCUGAUGUAGCAGUUCUGGAAAAGAAUUAAGAGAGACAAAGGAAAACAAUCUGUUGAAAUAGAAAAGUGUGUGAAUAUAUGGCCCUUAUUGGAACUGAGUAUAUAGACAAGAUUGCUCUUGAACACAGAAAUAUCUGCCUGAUUUUUAUUCCUGAAAGCUGAGAUUAAAGUGACAGGCAUUGAAAGAUACUACUUAGAAAAUGUUGACUCAUCUAGAACGAAGCACUGCUAUGAGGUGACUGUCUGUGAAC